UACGUAGGGUGCAAGCGUUGUCCGGAAUUAUUGGGCGUAAAGAGCUCGUAGGCGGUUUGUCGCGUCUGCUGUGAAAACGCGGGGCUCAACUCCGCGCCUGCAGUGGGUACGGGCAGACUAGAGUGCAGUAGGGGAGACUGGAAUUCCUGGUGUAGCGGUGAAAUGCGCAGAUAUCAGGAGGAACACCGGUGGCGAAGGCGGGUCUCUGGGCCGUAACUGACGCUGGAGGAGCGAAAGCGUGGGGAGCGAACAGG
rnacentral:rRNA from 1 species